rnacentral:rRNA from 1 species
GAUGAACGCUGGCGGCGUGCCUAAUACAUGCAAGUCGAGCGAAUGGAUUAAGAGCUUGCUCUUAUGAAGUUAGCGGCGGACGGGUGAGUAACACGUGGGUAACCUGCCCAUAAGACUGGGAUAACUCCGGGAAACCGGGGCUAAUACCGGAUAACAUUUUGAACCGCAUGGUUCGAAAUUGAAAGGCGGCUUCGGCUGUCACUUAUGGAUGGACCCGCGUCGCAUUAGCUAGUUGGUGAGGUAACGGCUCACCAAGGCAACGAUGCGUAGACGACCUGAGAGGGUGAGCGGCCACACUGGUACUGAGACCCGGCCAGACUCCUACGGGAGGCAGCAGUAGGGAAUCUUCCGCAAUGGACGAAAGUCUGACGGAGCAACGCCGCGUGAGUGAUGAAGGCUUUCGGGUCGUAAAACUCUGUUGUUAGGGAAGAACAAGUGCUAGUUGAAUAAGCUGGCACCUUGACGGUACCUAACCAGAAAGCCACGGCUAACUACGUGCCAGCAGCCGCCGUAA